AAAAUGAUUUUUUGCCAUAAUAAACUUUAAGCUUAACAUUUAAAUUAAACCUGUUUAAAGUAAAUACAUCAUAUAUUAUAUUCAUCCAUAUUCAUUAAAUACAACAUAAACCAGUUCAAUAGGAAAUUAAAUCUGAUUUAUUCACAUUAAGUCUAUUUAAUUGUUUCACUGGAAUUCAUUGGAUCCACCUGAAGCACGCGGGCACACCACUCUUUCAUUCCCGAAUAGACCUCGUGCUGAUGAAUGGACCGAGUUUGGUAUUCUCUCUUUGGAUUUACUUUGUGAAAACCAGGGCAACCUCUUAAUAGUUUGAUGAUGACGACCUAAUUUGAGCUCAGCGUUAUUCUUGUAAUUUAGUGCUCUUCAGAUCACACUAACAGUUGCCUCUGGAUCAAUCUCCUAAUCUACUAAUGUGUACA